UACAGAGGGUGCAAGCGUUGUUCGGAAUCACUGGGCUUAAAGGGCGCGUAGGCGGUUCAUCAAGUCUGGGUGAAAUCUUCGGCUUAACCGGAAAAGUGCCUGGGAUACUGAUGAACUGGAGGGAGAUAGGGCAGCUGGAACUUCCGGUGGAGCGGUGAAAUGCGUUGAUAUCGGAAGGAACUCCGGUCGGCGAAAGCGAGCUGCUGGACUCUCUACUGACGCUGAGGCGCGAAAGCCAGGGAGCAAACGGG
rnacentral:rRNA from 1 species